CGCGUAGGCGGCCUUGCGUGUCUUCCGUGAAAUCCCUCGGCUCAACUGAGGACGUGCGGAAGAAACUGCGAGGCUCGAGUCCGGGAGAGGAGGGUGGAAUUCCCAGUGUAGCGGUGAAAUGCGUAGAUAUUGGGAGGAACACCGGUGGCGAAGGCGGCCCUCUGGACCGGUACUGACGCUGAUGCGCGAAAGCGUGGGGAGCAAACGG
rnacentral:rRNA from 1 species